UACGGAGGAUGCAAGCGUUAUCCGGAAUGAUUGGGCGUAAAGCGUCCGCAGGCGGCUAUGUAAGUCUGCUGUUAAAGAGUGAGGCUCAACCUCAUAAAAGCAGUGGAAACUACAUGGCUAGAGUGCGUUCGGGGCAGAGGGAAUUCCUGGUGUAGCGGUGAAAUGCGUAGAUAUCAGGAAGAACACCGGUGGCGAAAGCGGUCUGCUGGGCCGCAACUGACACUGAGGGACGAAAGCUAGGGGAGCGAAUGGG
rnacentral:rRNA from 1 species